rnacentral:snoRNA from 1 species
UGAUGCCUGAGGAACGUGUAUUGCCUGAUGAACCUGAUGAGCAAAUUUGUCUGAGG